rnacentral:rRNA from 1 species
AUUGAACGCUGGCGGCAUGCCUUACACAUGCAAGUCGAACGGCAGCACGGGUGCUUGCACCUGUUGGCGAGUGGCGAACGGGUGAGUAAUACAUCGGAACAUGUCCUGUAGUGGGGGAUAGCCCGGCGAAAGCCGGAUUAAUACCGCAUACGAUCUACGGAUGACAGCGGGGGACCUUCGGGCCUCGCGCUAUAGGGGUGGCCGAUGGCUGAUUAGCUAGUUGGUGGGGUAAAGGCCUACCAAGGCGACGAUCAGUAGCUGGUCUGAGAGGACGACCAGCCACACUGGGACUGAGACACGGACCAGACUACUACGGGAGGCAGCAGUGGGGAACUUUGGACAAUGGGGGAAAGCCUGAUCCAGCAAUGCGGCGUGUGUGAAGAAGGCCUUCGGGUUGUAAAGCACUUUUGUCCGGAAAGAAAUCCUUGGCCCUAAUACGGUCGGGGGAUGACGGUACCGGAAGAAUAAGCACCGGCUAACUACGUG